rnacentral:lncRNA from 1 species
CGAGGCCCGGCCGGGCGUCCUGCGCGAGGCACUGCGGGCUCCUGCCUGCGAGAUUAGGCGAGGGGCGGAAAGGGAGGCAAGGAGAGGCCGAGAGGAGACAGGCGAUCGGAUUUUCCAGGAGUCUGGUGUGGAAGAAAAACCCACCUCGAACUCAAAUCCACAAUAAUAAUCCGAACGAAUAAUAAGGGAGCCGUCUUUCUGGCCGGGCGAGAGAGAGGGAGAGAGAAGGGGGAACGGGAGGAAGCGAAAUCUCCGUUUCAUGGAGGCUGAGGCAAGAGAAAAUUUCGGAGCCUGGAUGUGGAGGAGCCCAACAGCAGAACUAACUCAGGAAAUUGUCUUUCAGAAAAAGGCCGAACGUAGGCUGGGUCUGAGAAUCAGGCUGGGGUAGGUGGAGGAACCUGCAAGUUUAAAGGAAAAAGAAAAGGAGAGAAUAUUUUCAGAGAUUAUCUCUGGUUUGUUAUCAUUACUACCAUCUUAAAGGUAAAAAGCAUUGCAUUUCAGGUGUUCUUUGAUUUUUAUUUUAUUUUUUUUUUUGGUGCAAUUGGCUCAUUUAAGAAUUUCAAAACAUUUAAUGUAAAAGCUUUUUUUUUUUUAAGGAAGUCCAUAAAUUUUGGUUCCCAGGGUUGCACUGGACUUGGAAGGAGUGCUGUUGUGUACAUACUAUUGUAUGGUUUUAUUUAUUAUUUUACUGUACAAAUCAGCCGAAAGAAUUUUUCCAAGUGCCAUUUCGGAUUUAUUAAUCCUUUUUUUUUUCCUUUCCUCAAAGAUAUUUGCUGUUGUCAUAUUAAGCAUUGGAGACUAGAAAAUUACUUUCCCCCUUUGAGCUAGAGGGUCUCUUGCCAACAGAAGGACAGCUGAGAAAGCUGGAUUUAAAGGAUGGUUUUAUCUGUACUUUGCAGUUAACAGUGAUAUUUUGAAGGCACAUUUUUCUGUGAUUCAUUUUUUUUUGGCCAUAGUGCUAACCUUGAAGAGAUUCGUGGCUGGGUUUUUGGUUUCUGAGAAGGUCGUAGUUUUUCCUCUUUUCCUUUUUUUUUCUUUUUUCUUUUCUUUUCUUUUUUUUUAAAGCGGGGGAGGGGAAGAGGGGCUGAGAAAGGAAAUCAUGUUCACUGGUAGAAGUAGAGUGGAGCAUCAGUUACCAGGGUCCUGAGAGCUGGAGGAGAAAGGAUUCUAUCUUCAAGUUGGGAGGCCCUCCUCUCACCUUGCUCAAAAAUUGCAAGCGAUUCAAUCCUGAUCAAGACACCAAAGCUACAGGAUUCUGGAACCGUGGAGACACCGAGAAACCAUGAGUGUAAGGUUACCCCAGAGUAUAGACAGGAGCACAGACCUUGAAGUCACACCAACUCUAUGCACAUCUUAACUUCAUUUAUUUAACCUCUCUGUUCACACACUGGAAAAUGGGGAUGUACUACCUGUUUCACCAGAC